rnacentral:rRNA from 1 species
ACCUGCCGUCUACUCUUGGACAGCCUUCUGAAAGGAAGAUUAAUACAAGAUGGCAUCAUGAGUCCGCAUGUUCACAUGAUUAAAGGUAUUCCGGUAGACGAUGGGGAUGCGUUCCAUUAGAUAGUAGGCGGGGUAACGGCCCACCUAGUCUUCGAUGGAUAGGGGUUCUGAGAGGAAGGUCCCCCACAUUGGAACUGAGACACGGUCCAAACUCCUACGGGAGGCAGCAGUGAGGAAUAUUGGUCAAUGGGCGAGAGCCUGAACCAGCCAAGUAGCGUGAAGGAUGACUGCCCUAUGGGUUGUAAACUUCUUUUAUAAAGGAAUAAAGUCGGGUAUGGAUACCCGUUUGCAUGUACUUUAUGAAUAAGGAUCGGCUAACUCCGUGCCAGCAGCCGCGGUAAUACGGAGGAUCCGAGCGUUAUCCGGAUUUAUUGGGUUUAAAGGGAGCGUAGAUGGAUGUUUAAGUCAGUUGUGAAAGUUUGCGGCUCAACCGUAAAAUUGCAGUUGAUACUGGAUAUCUUGAGUGCAGUUGAGGCAGGCGGAAUUCGUGGUGUAGCGGUGAAAUGCUUAGAUAUCACGAAGAACUCCGAUUGCGAAGGCAGCCUGCUAAGCUGCAACUGACAUUGAGGCUCGAAAGUGUGGGUAUCAAACAGGAUUAGAUACCCUGGUAGUCCACACGGUAAACG